UUUGAUCCUGGCUCAGGAUGAACGCUGGCGGCGUGCUUAACACAUGCAAGUCGAACGAUGAAGCCGGAGCUUGCUCUGGUGGAUUAGUGGCGAACGGGUGAGUAACACGUGAGUAACCUGCCCUUGACUCUGGAAUAAGCGUUGGAAACGACGUCUAAUACCGGAUACGAGCUUCCGCCGCAUGGUGAGGAGCUGGAAAGAAUUUCGGUCAAGGAUGGACUCGCGGCCUAUCAGGUAGUUGGUGAGGUAAUGGCUCACCAAGCCUACGACGGGUAGCCGGCCUGAGAGGGUGACCGGCCACACUGGAACUGAGACACGGUCCAGACUCCUACGGGAGGCAGCAGUGGGGAAUAUUGCACAAUGGGCGCAAGCCUGAUGCAGCAACGCCGCGUGAGGGACGACGGCCUUCGGGUUGUAAACCUCUUUUAGUAGGGAAGAAGCGAAAGUGACGGUACCUGCAGAAAAAGCACCGGCUAACUACGUGCCAGCAGCCGCGGUAAUACGUAGGGUGCAAGCGUUAUCCGGAAUUAUUGGGCGUAAAGAGCUCGUAGGCGGUUUGUCGCGUCUGCUGUGAAAACUGGGGGCUCAACCCCCAGCCUGCAGUGGGUACGGGCAGACUAGAGUGCGGUAGGGGAGAUUGGAAUUCCUGGUGUAGCGGUGGAAUGCGCAGAUAUCAGGAGGAACACCGAUGGCGAAGGCAGAUCUCUG
rnacentral:rRNA from 1 species